AUUGAACGCUGGCGGCAGGCUUAACACAUGCAAGUCGAACGAGUGGCGGACGGGUGAGUAAUGCCUGGGAAACUGGCCGAUGGAGGGGGAUAACUACGGGAAACGGUAGCUAAUACCGCGUACCAUAGGAUGAGCCCAUGUGGGAUUAGGUAGUUGGUGGGGUAAAGGCUCACCAAGCCGACGAUCCCUAGCUGGUCUGAGAGGAUGACCAGCCACACUGGAACUGAGACACGGCCCAGACUCCUACGGGAGGCAGCAGUGGGGAAUAUUGGACAAUGGGCGAAAGCCUGAUCCAGCCAUGCCGCGUGUGUGAAGAAGGUCUUCGGAUUGUAAAGUACUUUAAGCUGGGAGGCGUUACCCGCAGAAUAAGCACCGGCUAACUUCGUGCCAGCAGCCGCGGUAAUUC
rnacentral:rRNA from 1 species